GAUGAACGCUGGCGGCGUGCCUAAUACAUGCAAGUCGAGCGAACGGACGAGAAUCUUGCUUCGCUGAUGUGAGGGGCGGGCGGGUGAGUAACACGAGGAUAACCGACCUAUAAGACUGGGAUAACUACGGGAAACCGGAUCUAACACCGGAUAAUAUUUUGAACCGCGUGGUUCAAAAGAGAAAGACGGUCUUGCUGUCACUAAUAGAGGGAUCCGAGCUGCAUGAGCUAGUUGGUAAGGUAACGGCUUACCAAGGCAACGAUGCAUAGCCGACCUGAGAGGGUGAUCGGCCACACUGGAACUGAGACACGGUCCAGACUCCUACGGGAGGCAGCAGUAGGGAAUCUUCCGCAAUGGGCGAAAGCCUGACGGAGCCACGCCGCGUGUGUGAUGAAGGUCUUCGGAUCGUAAAACUCUGUUAUUAGGGAAGAACAUAUGUGUAAGUAACUGUGCACAUCUUGACGGUACCUAAUCAGAAAGCCACGGCUAACUACGUG
rnacentral:rRNA from 1 species